rnacentral:lncRNA from 1 species
UGAUAUUCUGAUGUCCAACGAUUCAAUAGAGACGACGUCUACACGGCCUUGCAUGUGCUUAAUUCAGCAGUCCAUUAAUCUGCUAACGGGAUGAAAGUAUACUUGGCGAAAUGGAAGCUGCUUACAUCGGCUGUGGAUCGUCCGAGUUUUUUCAUUUCGAUUGGUCAAUCAACAUGGAGGCUUCUGAUUAGUUUCGAUAAACCAUGCUGUCUUCUUGUUACGACUCCCAUAUGGCCCCC